UAAUUUGGUUGCCAGCUUCAACCUAAUUCUUGAUUUAGAACUAUGAUUUUGAACUAAAACAUUUCCGUGUUGAAUAAAAUACUAUUUAUUCUUAACUGUAUUUUUUUUGAGGCUUCAGUUAUCAAAUGUUGGUGGUAAUUUUAGUUAUGCCACUGUGAAAGCGUCGAUUGUUAAUUUGAAGUAUGCACAAAGCUUGAAAGUGUCAAAUAUGGAACCUAAAAAAACCUGCCUUUGCCACUGACUGUAUAAAGGUUUUUUAAGGUCUGUUUGUCAAGCGUCAAGUCAGGUUAUCUUGGUACUGGUACCAUGUAGUACAUCCUGCUUAAGCAGGUUGUACGCCAUCCAUAUGAAAUUUGGGCAUCUGUUUGUAAAAUAUUGCUGCAAAUCUUUUUGAGAGAGCCAUUACUAUGGAGAACCAUCUAAACCAUACAAGUGUGGAAACAUGGAUGUAAAUCUAUAUUAAUGUGAAAUAAACUGAUGAGUUUAUUUAACUUAGCUGGUAAAAAAAAGAGUUUUCGUGAAACAAAUUUAAUGAAGACAGUUAUAGAAUGAAGUUCAUUCAUUUGCUGGCAACAUUUUUUAACGUGGUCCAGAUCGAAAAAAUUUGGUGCCAGAAAUAGUCGAUAGUGGAAGUGAUAGAUGCAUCGAACCUAAUUUGUAAUUAAUUUCUGUAAAUAAAUUUCACUUUA
rnacentral:lncRNA from 1 species